UACGAAGGGGGCUAGCGUUGCUCGGAAUCACUGGGCGUAAAGCGCACGUAGGCGGCUUUUUAAGUCAGGGGUGAAAUCCUGGAGCUCAACUCCAGAACUGCCUUUGAUACUGAGAAGCUUGAGUCCGGGAGAGGUGAGUGGAACUGCGAGUGUAGAGGUGAAAUUCGUAGAUAUUCGCAAGAACACCAGUGGCGAAGGCGGCUCAGUGGCCAGGUACUGACGCUGAGGUGCGAAAGCGUGGGGAGCAAACAGG
rnacentral:rRNA from 1 species